UACAGAGGUGGCAAGCGUUGUUCGGAAUUACUGGGCGUAAAGGGCGCGUAGGCGGCCUUGUAAGUCCUGUGUGAAAUCCCCCGGCUCAACUGGGGAACUGCACAGGAGACUGCUUGGCUUGAGUUCGGGAGAGGCGAGUGGAAUUCCCGGUGUAGCGGUGAAAUGCGCAGAUAUCGGGAGGAACACCAAUGGCGAAGGCAGCUCGCUGGGACGUUACUGACGCUGAGACGCGAAAGCGUGGGGAGCAAACAGG
rnacentral:rRNA from 1 species